GACGAACGCUGGCGGCGUGCUUAACACAUGCAAGUCGAACGGUAAGGCCCUUCGGGGUACACGAGUGGCGAACGGGUGAGUAACACGUGGGUGAUCUGCCCUGCACUUCGGGAUAAGCCUGGGAAACUGGGUCUAAUACCGGAUAGGACUCCGGACUGCAUGGUCUGGGGUGGAAAGCUUUUGCGGUGUGGGAUGGGCCCGCGGCCUAUCAGCUUGUUAGUGGGGUGAUGGCCUAACAAGGCGACGACGGGUAGCCGGCCUGAGAGGGUGACCGGCCACACUGGGACUGAGAUACGGCCCAGACUCCUACGGGAGGCAGCAGUGGGGAAUAUUGCACAAUGGGCGCAAGCCUGAUGCAGCGACGCCGCGUGAGGGAUGAGGGCCUUCGGGUUGUAAACCUCUUUCAGCAUCGACGAAGCGAAAGUGACGGUAGGUGCAGAAGAAGGACCGGCCAACUACGUGCCAGCCGCCGCCGUAA
rnacentral:rRNA from 1 species